GCCACAUAUUUUGGCCCAACCCAACAUCUAUUCUCUUCUAGAAACCUAACCUCAAAUCACCUUACUCAGCCGUCAUCACCAUUUCUCACUCGCACCUUCUCCUACAUUCUCACUCUCCCCAACCCGAUCACCCACGCCCCGUCUCUUCAGUCGAACCCGCCGCCGAGUGUACUGCAUAUCCUGUAGAUUAUCAUGGCUAAGCAUCAUCCCGAUCUGAUUAUGUGCCGGAAACAACCGGGAAUUGCAAUUGGAAGACUAUGUGAGAAAUGUGAUGGAAAGUGUGUGAUAUGCGACUCGUACGUGCGACCCUGCACUCUCGUGCGGGUCUGUGAUGAAUGCAACUAUGGAUCCUUUCAAGGUCGGUGUGUCAUCUGUGGUGGAGUUGGUAUAUCCGAUGCUUAUUACUGCAAGGAGUGUACUCAGCAAGAGAAAGACAGAGAUGGGUGUCCUAAGAUUGUUAAUUUAGGAAGUGCCAAGACUGAUUUGUUCUACGAACGUAAGAAAUAUGGCUUUAAGAAAAGAUGAUGAUGAUGAUGAUUAAUGCUGGUGAGUAUCAGUCUACUCUGCUAUUGAUGCCAUUUUCUUUUAUGUAAAGUUUAUUAUAUAAGCAUUGGCUAAUAUUUUGACUUACUAUUGUGUACCAUUGACACUGUCAAGUUUAGGAUUGUUUAGCACUAAUGUAGAUGAUGGACCUGAGUCUGUAGUGUCUAUAUUGCUACUACUAUUAAGUUUGGUAGACGGUCCUGAUUUUGUACUUGUAGACAGUAUAGUAACAUUUCAUGAUAUACAUUUUAUGGCCUCUCGAGUCCCUUUACUGCAUUUGUGUUAUUUGGUUUUAAGUAUUUUAUUCUUUACAUCAUCUUGUUUAUCAUGUCACCAAACAUGGCUGGAAGAGAUUCAGCAAAAAAAGACAUGGCUCGAAGAGUUGUGUUUGGAGUUUGCGGUUGCGAAAGCUUUUAUAUUUAGUAAAAGUUUUUACUUAUAUUUUAUUUCGUCAAUUAUAAUAGGGUAAAUACCAUUUUGGACUCUGUUUUACAAAAGUUACCAAUUGGACCCUGUGUUUUGUUAAAUGACAAAAUGGAUCCUGUAUUUUUUAAAAUAGUACAAAUAGAACCCUGAAUUGAUUUUUUGUCAAAAUAAAGUUUAAUUAUAAUCUGAUCUAAAAGUGCUAUGACAAAACUGUUUACAUUUUUUGUAUUAAAAGUAUUAAAAAAAAAGUUGUCAAAAAUUAAACUCAGGUCCUAUUUUUACUAUUUUAGAAAAUACAGAGUCCAUUUUGUCAUUUAACAAAAUACAGGGUCCAAUCUGUAAUUUUUGCAAAACACAGGGUUCAAAAUGGUAUUUACCCAUUAUAAUAAUGUUAGUGUUUAUUUUUUUCCUUUUUGAAGUGUUGGGCUUAUGCUAAUGGGAGCCUUUGUGUAUAAAUAGGGGCUUAGCUGCCUAUGAAUAGGGUUAGGGUGGGAUUCAAUUUUCAAUUUAAAAGUUGCCAAAGAGCUUUGCAAGGUCUUUGUUAAUACAAGAAUCGCAAGUUUUUCCUCUUAAAUGAAAGUAGAGUUUAUUAAUGGCCAAACUACCAUAAACCUUCUUGUUGUUUCUUCUCUAAAUCUUCAACCUAUCUAGUUUGACUUCAAAUCCAGCUUAUGCAAUUUUAAAAAUAUAUUUGUAUAAUUGUAUAUCCGUUUCUUUAUCUA